GCUGGCCCCUGCUCCAGCACUGAGGUCUCGACCUGCCCCCCCCACCCCCACCCAAAGUCCUGGAAAGCACUCAGCUUAGUGGAGCAAGAUUCUCCCCAGCAAGCAGGCCGAGUCCCCAGGCUUCCAGGCCACUGGAUGGGCUUCUGGCAAAUGAUGCACAGCCGAGCACCACGCAGGGAAGGGGAAGGGAGAAGACAGUGGCAGGAACUUCCUGGGCUCGCAGAGAAGUUCCAAACUACCUACCAUGCACUUCCCAACUCACCUCCAGUUCAGACACAUGCAGAUUUCGCCCAGGGCUAGAAUGUCCCCGAGCUUUUCAGCUGGGAAAUUGAUACCCUCCUCCCAUCAGCAGCCCUUCUAAGCGACCGGGAGCUCCCUGCACCCUCAGCCUGACCUCCCCGUACUGAGCCUGGGCCCCCAGCCCCAGCGGGGCGGCCAAAGCUGCCGCCAGGGCCCAUCCAUCAGGCUCAGCACAGCCUCCCGCCCUCGCCUGCCCCCACCACACCCAGCCUGUAAAAGUCAGCAGGCUGCCGAGAGGGAUCCCCAGGGCCUAUCUGCCGCCACUGCCUGCUCGGUGUGACAGCUACGGGACAGAAGAAAUUGAUUCCUCCACUCCCAGCCUCCUCCUUCUAAAGCUGACAGCCUCCCCCUCCUACCUGGUGACCUGCUGAGAUCUGCUGAGACCAAAGCUGCAGGCCAAAGAUAAAAAAUGCCUGGCUAUUGACUAAGACACAAUAAAGGGCCAACCUGCAUGUUAUUUGCAUACCCAGUUAAUGUCAAAAUGGAAUGAGCCCCUGUCCCACUGCAGCUUUCCUCAGUGGCCCCGAUCCCCAACCUUUCUCCACAGACCCUGCACGGGGCAGGGGUCUGAUCCCAGCCGGGCUGCGGCGCAUGGUAAGCAGCCCAGAGGGUACCUCCCCACUGUGUCCUCGGCGCCCCCGCCUCGGCACACUUUCUCAGCACCCUGAGAGAGGCCAAAUCCCAUGCCGGCCUCUUGCCCCCGCCCACUGCGCCCCACGCCCCACCUGCUGUGUUUGUGCAGGGGUGGAGGGAACAUAAUGAGAGGCUGAUGUUCCUGCAGCUGGGCUGUGUUUGGAGUCUGGUGGAGUGAGGGGAGGGCGGCAGGGCAGGUCGGGGCUGAGGGCCAGGCGGGGCCUCAGAGCCUUGGGGCCCAGCAGUAACAGCUCACACAUGAUUUUUCUCCCCACAAUGUUCUCCACUCCAAGCCUGUGGGCCCCCGAGUCGGAAGCUCCCAGGACUGUAACAAGCUUUAGUUUAUACACAAACAGCUGCAUUUUCCUACUACUGUUUACUGCAAGGGAGCCAGUGCAGCAUGCUCCCAGCUUUGCUUGGCCUCAGCAGUGAGCUGAAGUUCGGGUCGGCCAGCCUGGGAGAGCAGGGACAGCAGGGCCUGUGGAUGGGACGCAUCACAGGCGGGUCCUGAGCUCCGGGGUCUGUGAUUCAGUUUCUCCUCCUCCAGUUCCCCAGAUUCCCCGUCCCCUUGGACCUCAGUGUGUACUUACUCCAGCAUCCCCUCAUCUCACCCAUGUAUAAACACACAGAAGGAAAAGAGUUUCAGAGUGGAGUCAGUCAUUUCAGAAAAAGUUGGAUCAUUUGCCAGGCAAAGGGACCGCCCA